AAUCAUAAAUUGCUAUUCAAAUGUUGUGCAAACAGUUGGGGGAAAUCCGGUGCAAAUCCGGUGCAGUCCACGCUACGGUAAGCCUUUGGCCAAGCCCGAAUACCCAUUGAAUAGUUGAUUUCUGG
rnacentral:ncRNA from 2 species